rnacentral:rRNA from 1 species
AGUGGCGAACGGGUGAGUAAUACAUCGGAACGUGCCCAGUAAUGGGGGAUAGCUCGGCGAAAGCCGGAUUAAUACCGCAUACGCCCUGAGGGGGAAAGUGGGGGACCGCAAGGCCUCACGUUAUUGGAGCGGCCGAUGGCUGAUUAGCUAGUUGGUAGGGUAAAGGCCUACCAAGGCGACGAUCAGUAGCUGGUCUGAGAGGACGAUCAGCCACACUGGGACUGAGACACGGCCCAGACUCCUACGGGAGGCAGCAGUGGGGAAUUUUGGACAAUGGGGGAAACCCUGAUCCAGCAAUGCCGCGUGUGCGAAGAAGGCCUUCGGGUUGUAAAGCACUUUUGUCAGGGAAGAAAUCCUUUGGGCUAAUACCCUAGGGGGAUGACGGUACCUGAAGAAUAAGCACCGGCUAACUACGUGCCAGCAGCCGCGGUAAUACGUAGGGUGCAAGCGUUAAUCGGAAUUACUGGGCGUAAAGCGUGCGCAGGCGGUUGUGUAAGACAGGUGUGAAAUCCCCGGGCUUAACCUGGGAAUUGCAUUUGUGACUGCACGACUAGAGUGUGUCAGAGGGGGGUGGAAUUCCACGUGUAGCAGUGAAAUGCGUAGAUAUGUGGAGGAACACCAAUGGCGAAGGCAGCCCCCUGGGAUAACACUGACGCUCAUGCACGAAAGCGUGGGAGCAAACAGGAUUAGAUACCCUGGU